rnacentral:rRNA from 1 species
CGUAGGGUGCAAGCGUUGUCCGGAAUUAUUGGGCGUAAAGAGCUCGUAGGCGGUUUGUCGCGUCGACUGUGAAAACCCGAGGCUUAACCUCGGGCCUGCAGUCGAUACGGGCAGACUAGAGUUCGGUAGGGGAGACUGGAAUUCCUGGUGUAGCGGUGAAAUGCGCAGAUAUCAGGAGGAACACCGGUGGCGAAGGCGGGUCUCUGGGCCGAUACUGACGCUGAGGAGCGAAAGCGUGGGGAGCGAACAGGAUUAGAUACCCUGGUAGUCCACGCCGUAAACGUUGGGCGCUAGGUGUGGGGGUCUUUCCACGAUCUCCGUGCCGCAGCUAACGCAUUAAGCGCCCCGCCUGGGGAGCACGGCCGCAAGGCUA